CAAUACUAAAAACUCAUAAUAGAAAACUAAAAAUACAUAUAUUAAUACUAAAAAUCCAUACAUUCAUUCAAACAUUAUUAAUCAAAUAUUACAACAUCACAAAUUUCAUCCAACAUCACAAAUUUCAUCCAACAUUUGAAUCAAAAGGGUGCGUCGUUUCUUUCUAAACAUCAAAUGGACAAGCUAUGAACACUACCCACGCUCUCACUCUCCGCUGCGCGCUGCCU
rnacentral:lncRNA from 1 species